AGAGUACGAGCCGAUCAAGGGGUUGAAAAUGGAGACAUCGCUAGAUGCAUGUUUACUGUGCGAGGAACAGCCCGUGGCAGCUUUAUUGCUGGAAAAAGCGUCCAUAACCAGAGAGUGGAACGCCUAUGGAGAGAUGUUUGGAGUGUAACGUGUCAGUACUACGACGUGCUCCAUAGUUUGGAGGAAGAGGGCUUUAUUGACCUGUCCAUUGCUGUCCACCUCUUCUGUGUGGGGUAUGUCUUCAUACCACGACUACGAUCAGAUUUGCAGCAUUUUACAGAGCUGGAAUUGUCACCCCUUGCGCACAGAGGGAAAUCUGACACCGAAUCAGCUAUGGAUGAUCGGGAUGCUGCAAGCACCUGUGUCAGAACCAGACCUGGAAGAGAUCCAGCAAGCUGAGGAGCACCCCUCUCAGGAACAGCAAAGUGAAAACACUGAGCAUGGAGUUAUCGUACCAGACAUCCAAUGCCCCCUGUCAGCUGAAAGACUUGCUGCACUACAGCACCAAGUGAACCCCACCACCGAGUCCUCAUCCUUUGGUCGGGACAUCUACUUGCAUGCUCUUAGAGCAGCUUUCGGACUCUAACAUUCUGAUAUACAUGAAUGCAAAUUUUCAACCCGCCAUAAUUACCUCUGAUUCUAACAAAGUUUUUCACUUUCUCAACCAGCAAUAAUGUGAAUUAUACACAAAUAAAGCCCAAUUCAAGUGUUUUGGUUUAUCUAAAUUUGACUUGCCUGUAAUUAAAAACAGCAUUAUAAGGCAAAAUUA